rnacentral:sRNA from 1 species
AGCCAAUAUCCUCACUGCUUGCGGAUUAACACUGUUGCUCCUGCAUCUGGAUCCAACCGGGGUAAAAUCCAUCCUAAGUCCUGGUAUUGGCAAAAUGUAUCUCGCUUUGAUUCCGUCGUCAGCGAAUUUUCUACGGAAUCGAACCUUCGACUCCCAAACAGGAUCAGCGUCUGGGGUUUUGAACGAUUAGCAUGGAUGAAUUAAACCUUGCAGCUGGUGAUGGGAAAGGGUGCGGUAACUCCACUGUUGAAUCUUCGCGAGGGACUCCUAACGCUGCGAUGUCCUCGGCUUCCCAUGAACUGACAAAUGGCCGCAGCCAUAUGAUGUUCCUGCUGUAAAUCGAGGGGAAUAUUACGAAGUUGUUGCCUUGCUUGGACGAUAUAAAUAGUACAGAUUUGAAAGACCUUUUGCUCGUUCUCUCCGACCUUUGUGCCUCUUCUAAAGCUCUAUAGUGAUCUGGAUAUCUGAGUAUCAAACAUUGGUCUUGGCCCUGUAGAAUGUUGGGGCAAGGCAUAAAAUGUGGAUGCGAAAGGCAAGAUGCCACCAAAUUCGAGGUCCGU